GCGUCUUUAUAAAAUGUGGCAGUGCAACGGCCUUGCCACAGUCGCAACUUGCAUUUGCCACACGUUGGUGAAAUUUGUUGAGCAGUUAAGCGAAUAGUCGAAAGUAACUUUUAUUGAAUAUCAACUUGAUUUGCAUACAUUUUCUUGAAGUGUUCGCUGUGUGACUAAAUGACUUGAAUGUUUAAUUGACUAAAUAUUUAUUUCAGAGCUGCUUCAUGUGUCUAAAGAUCUGUUGCUGUUGCACAAACUUAUCAAUGGAUAACCGUCAAAUACAGUCCCCGGACAUACAGCUGGAGGAAUUGCAUACAGAGAAGAGUAUUACAAUCACUCAACAACCGGUCGACAGAAACUGCAAUAGGAUAUACAAUCCCUGCUUAAGACUUAGUUUAGCUGAGCGACCUUAUAGCUGGAACUGCGAAGACGACGACCAGUAUAAUGUAGAUGACCAUGAGACACGUACUCCCACCCUGUGGCGUGCCUGGUGGUUGACAAGUGGCAGCGAAUAAAGUGAAAUAAAUUCGGAUACAGAUAUGUAUAGGAAACAUAUAUGUUGAGAUACAGAUAUAGUUCAAAGUAGAU